rnacentral:rRNA from 1 species
UACAGAGGUCUCAAGCGUUGUUCGGAUUCAUUGGGCGUAAAGGGUGCGUAGGCGGCGCGGUAAGUCGGGUGUGAAAUCUCGGGGCUUAACUCCGAAACUGCAUUCGAUACUGCCGUGCUUGAGGACUGGAGAGGAGGCUGGAAUUUACGGUGUAGCGGUGAAAUGCGUAGAUAUCGUAAGGAAGACCAGUGGCGAAGGCGGGUCUCUGGACAGUUCCUGACGCUGAGGCACGAAGGCCAGGGGAGCAAACGGG